CCUACGGGUGGCAGCAGUGAGGAAUAUUGGUCAAUGGACGCAAGUCUGAACCAGCCAUGCCGCGUGCAGGAAGACGGCUCUAUGAGUUGUAAACUGCUUUUGUACGAGGGUAAACGCAGAUACGCGUACCUUUCUGCAAGUACCGUACGAAUAAGGAUCGGCUAACUCCGUGCCAGCAGCCGCGGUAAUACGGAGGAUUCAAGCGUUAUCCGGAUUUAUUGGGGUUAAAGGGUGCGUAGGUGGUCGGGUAAGUUAGAGGUGAAAUCCCGAGGCUCAACUUCGGAAUUGCCUUUGAUACUGUUCGGCUAGAGAGUAGUUGCGGUAGGCGGAAUGUAUGGUGUAGCGGGGAAAUGCUUAGAGAUCAUACAGAACACCGAUUGCGAAGGCAGCUUACCAAGCUACUUCUGACGUUGAGGCACGAAAGCGUGGGGAGCAAACAGGAUUAGAUACCCUUGUAGUC
rnacentral:rRNA from 1 species